CUGCUGCCUCCUCCACCAUGGCUGCUGCCCUGGCUGCUCCCUCCUCCCAGGCUGUUGCCUCAACAAUGACUGAUGUCUCCACCCAGCCUGCUGCCUUCUCCACGCCAGGUACCUCAGCAUCUUCCGAGUCGUCUAUGGCUUUGGAUAGCUCUGGUAUGCCAGGUAUGGACAGGCGGAUUAUCUCAUGGAGCUUAGGAUUCAGCCCUCUCUGGCCCUCACCAACCAGCAGGUGAGACAAUUUUUGUCAGGCUCUGUGCCAUUCAUAAGAGUCCCAAGAAGAAGGGGACUGGCACAGUGUCCAGAUGGGACCUCAUCCUGGGGACUACAGGAAAAUCAGGCAGCGCAUUCUGGCCAAU